rnacentral:misc_RNA from 1 species
GAAAUGCGAUAAGUAAUGUGAAUUGCAGAAUUCAGUGAAUCAUCGAAUCUUUGAACGCACAUUGCGCCCGCUAGUAUUCUGGCGGGCAUGCCUGUUCGAGCGUCAUUUCAACCAUCAAGCCCUAGGCUUGUGUUGGGGGCCUGCGGCCGCCGCAGCCCCCUAAAUCCAGUGGCGGGCUCGUUGUCAUACCGGGUGCAGUAGUUUAUCUUCGCUCUGGGCAUGGCGGCGGGUUCCGGCCGUUAAACCACCAAUUUUUAAAGGUUGACCUCGAAUCAGGUAGGAAUACCCGCUGAACUUAA